GACUCUCGGCAACGGAUAUCUCGGCUCACGCAUCGAUGAAGAACGUAGCAAAUGCGAUACUUGGUGUGAAUUGCAGAAUCCGUGAACCAUCGAGUUUUUGAACGCAAGUUGCGCCGAAGCCAUUCGGUUGAGGGCACGUCUGCCUGGGCGUCA
rnacentral:rRNA from 11 species